GCAUUGGUGCCUCAGUGGUAGAAUUCUCACCUUCUACGUGGGAGACCAGGGUUGGAUUCCUGGCCAGUGCA
rnacentral:tRNA from 1 species